rnacentral:lncRNA from 1 species
AUGAAGGCUUUGAAGGAACAGCGAUGCGAGCGAGAGCCUCCUGUUGACGUUGACUUUGACGAUGACGACUUUGCUGGACUCGCUUGCCCUCUCGACGACCUUGAAGCUGUCGUCAUCCUUGAAAGUGAAACCACGACUUUCGAUCCCUUCUUGUUCGACAACGUCAAACUUGAUGACCACAACAUGGCAAUUCAAGAGAAGCCCAAGAGACCACCAUCCCAGGGCAAAGGGAAGAAUUUGGAGACCGUCCGCUUGGUGCUAUGCGCACCACCUCCAUCUUCUUGUCAACAAAACCCUACGGGGACAACAAAAUCUGAUGCUCACCAUCAACGGCAAGACUGGGAUGAUGAAGAGAAGUUGGAGAAUAGCAAACGAAAGCUUCACCAAGGCUAUCAAGAGUUCCAAAACAAGAGAAAGAAAAUUCAACUUCUUGACGUCAAGAACUUGCCUUUGACGUCUAAGCCUCUGCGAGGCCGGGUUUUGAGCGAGAACAAGCCGUUGAUCAGUUUGAGGAAGUGCCCAGAGCCUUCUGAUUUUUCGGAGAGCCAACAAAACCCUAAGGGGCUCACAAAAUCUACUGAUCAUGAUCUUCAUCAUUGGCAAGAUUGGGAUGAUGAAGAGAAGUUGGAGACUAGUGUUCGAAAGCUUCACCAAGGCUAUCAAGAGUUCCAAAACAAGCGAAAGAAAAUUCAAAUUGUCGACAUCAAGAACUUGCCUUUGCCGUCUAAGCCGGGACGAGGUCGGGUUUUGACAAAGAACAAGUUUCUGACUAGCUCCAGGAAGUGCCGAGCCUUCUGA